UUGCCUCCGGAGCUGCGCCAGGGAGGGGCCUCGGCACAACUGCAUGCAUGCGUGAAUGUGUGUGUACCCAUGGCAGCCAUGUCUUAGGGGAACGUGCGCGUGAAAUGAGCUACAGACAGUGAGAGAGGAUAUAGAGGUUCGCGUUGAGGAGAGGUGGCGCGGGGGAAGGUGAGGGAAAUGUACGGUCGGUGAACGAACCCCAUGCUGCUCAAACGGGACCGCCAUAAGCAAACAGUGCACGGACACCAGGGGACAGACAGACGGAUAGACAGCCAGACGGAUAGUUGGACAGACGGACAGCCAGACGGAUGCACGGACGUCACCACCUGCACCACGGCACAUUCGCACCUCCAUUAUCAAGAGAGCCGCGUCAUCACGGUCGUCAUACACACAAGCAAAGUGUCGUACGAGCUCGUCGGGGUGGUUUGCAAGUUGUGAUAUUGCCCGUGCCGCAUGGGCCUCCUGAGCAACUCGCUGGCGGCGCAUGAAGUGGGAAAAGGACAUACAAAACAUGUCAAGGUACCUUGCUGAUUAGCAUUCAAGCCAAAUACAUGUUCGGACUCCCUGCAGUUAACACAUAGCAUGAUGAUGCCCCUAGGCGUUCCAGGGUCGAUCGCGAUAGAUAGUGUGCGGUAUAAAAAAGCUCGCGACCAUAAGCGGGUGAAUGUGCCCCCAUGUCAUUUUUAGGUGAAUGGCCCGGCCAUUGUGAUGCGCGAGCCGACCAGGAGUUGACGCCGCCGUUGAUUAGGGGGCAGAUUCCACUGGAUGCCGGGGGUAGUGGUACUGGUAAUGGGUAGGGGUUUAGCACUACCCAUUACCAUUACCACUACCACCACCACCACUACCACCCCACGUACGCCGCAGAAGUCGGCGUACGCGGGUGAGAAGGAUGAGGGCGCCCCGAAAUAUUGGGGAAGGUACGGAUUGCCGGGUUGUGGGCACGGGUAAAGCUGCAUCCCCCUAUCGUAUGCAAUCCGACGGGCGGCGGGAGGGUGAUGGAGGCCACCGGGACGGGGCUUUCACUGGGAAUCAUUUCUGACGACGAAAUGCAUGGCAAAAUGUUUUUCGUUGUGUGUGCGAGAGCGAAUGUGUGCGGUGCGUGAGGAAAAAAGAGAUCAGUGGAUCAUCCAGUGUGGUACGGCACUGUUAUGGCUUGUUACACAGUCAAGCCAAUGAUGCAACUUUUUGCGUCUAUCUGAAGUUCAAUGGGGUGGCAAGGUGUCAUGGUCAUGGAAGGAAAAAAGCAUGGACCAGUGAAGGCAAAUUUGUGCAACACGACUGGCCAUGGGUAAAUGAUACGGCGGGAACUACCUGCAGGACUUCCGCGCGCUGGUAGGGCACCUUCGACAGUGGCACCUUCUUAAUAGCAAAGCGUUCAUGGCUGACCGGGCACGUAAGCUCAUACACCCUAGGGGCGGGGCCAAUGGGCAUGAGGACAGCAGAGGUGUUGACCUAUCCAAGCGAGGCUGCCAGUUUUUCAAGUGACCCCGGUUUGCAGAGUGAACCAAUGUCUACAGCCAGCUCGGUGAAAAGAGGUUGCCGAUUUUCCUGUUGCCGCUCUUCGGACUUUCGGAUAAUGGCUGAUUAUGCCCGAAACGUUGCCUCACAACCUGCUAAUGCUACCUUGGCCAAUCUCCUUCUCAAGCGCCAGGCUCUGUGCACGCUUCAGAGCACUGCCCAAAUCGUGCGCAAAAGACUUCACGGUAAAGCACCAAGGAAACAUGUCCAAUGAUGAAUUUAUAAAGUCAAAGCGAGCACUUUAUUG
rnacentral:lncRNA from 1 species